GCCCUUAUAGCUCAGUUGGUAGAGCACCUGAUUUGUAAUCAGGGGGUCGCGGGUUCAAGUCCUGCUGGGGGCACCA
rnacentral:tRNA from 1 species